rnacentral:lncRNA from 1 species
CCAUCCACCAUCCUUCCCACCACCUCUCCCACCGUCCUCCCACCUGCACCUCCGGCCAUCCCAGCCCUCUCGCAGCCCCGGUCCCUCUUCCUGAGCUGGAGCCCCAGUCCUUCUCCUUCUUCUUGCAGGGGCAGGUGGCCUGGCUCCUGGCGUGGGUGGCCUGGCUCCUGGCAUAGGUGGCCUGGCUCCUGGUGUGGGUGGCUUGGUUCCUGGUGUGGGUGGCCUGGCCCCCGGCAUUGGAGGUGUCCCAGGAGUCGGAGGUCCGGCAGCAGCAGCAAAAGCAGCAGCCAAGGCAGCCAAGUACGGUGCCGGUGUCGGAGGGGUGCCAGGCGCGGUGCCCGGUGGUCCCGGUGUGCCAGGAGUGACACCCGGCGUUGGCGGCGUCCCUGGGUUGGUGCCGAGCGUGGGGGUACCCGGUGCCGGCGUUCUCCCCGGGGCAGGCAUCCCCCAAGUAGGGGUGCAGCCAGGUGCUAAGCCUCCCAAGUUCGGAGUUCCCGGAGCUGGAGUCCCAGGGGUUGGUGGCAUCCCAGGUGGCCUCGGAGUUGGUGGCCUCGGAGCUGGUGGCCUUGGUGCUGGUGGCCUUGGUGCUGGGCUCUUGUUUCCAGGAGCUGCUGGAAAACCUCCCAAGCCAGGUUUUGGUGUUGGGGGGCUGCCAGGGCCUGGAGUUCCCGGCUUUGGCGUGUCACCGAUAUUUCCAGGUGGGGUCGGCGGCCAGCUGGGAUUUGGCGGGAAGCCCCCCAAGACCUUCGGAGGAGCCCUCGGGGCCCUGGGCUUUAGAGGUGAGCGCCGCCGGGUCCCCCGCCACCCCUGCCCGGCUUCCAAGCCCCCUGCCGGGGCCCGGGGGGGCUGACCCGGUGUCCCCCCCCCCAACCCAGGUGGAGUCGGCUGCGCACAAGGGAAAUACUGCGGGAGGAAGCGGAAGUAACCGCCCGCCCCACCGAUAACCUCAUGAACUUUGGUGCUACUGCAUGGUCCAGAAUGUAAAUCCCCAGCCCAGCUGAGACCCCCCUGGCCCCCCGGCCCCACGCUCCCGGGAGGGACCCCACGGUGCGGCAGCAGCGCCGGGGCCUGCCCCCACCCCGGGAAUUCUCCCCCCCGACCCCCCCAGGGAGCGCGGAAUAAACUGCGGGGAGCAGCUGUCCCCCUUGGUGCU